GGGUCCGUAGCUCAGUGGUAGAGCAUUUGACUACAGAUCAAGUGGUCUACAGUUCGAAACUGGUAGGGCCUU
rnacentral:tRNA from 1 species